UAUUCAGAUGGAGGUAAAGCCAGAUGGUCACCUGGGGUUUGUUCCACUGUCCCCCACUGCCAGAAGCUCAGACGAUGAUUAAAUUCAGAAAGGUCUUGCCAUUGGAUCCUAGAAUUUGAAAAGAAAAAAAAUCCAAACUUUUGUAUUGUUUUGAGGACAAGGAGAUAAAAAUUUCACUAUCCAAGGUGUAUCCUCCAGCAUCUUCAAACUCUUUGACCUGGAUGGUGAGGGUUUUACCAGAGCCUAAGAUAUCACUUUUCCGGUCUGAGGUCCAUGUGAUGCCAUCUUCCUCAGCAGUGUUGCAGUUCCCACAUGGCCAGGAGGGGAGAUGCCAGCAACACCAGGGAGAGCCAGGAGGAGAUCAACUGCCGGUGACACAUCUACGAGGAGCAGGAGAAACGGAAGGAAGAGAAGAGCAAAAGAGAAAGAAGAGGCAGGAAAAAGGAAGAGAUAAUGUCAGUGCUUACUCAGUGUCAGCCAACGGAGAACGGGAAACCCUGGCGAGAGCGGCGGAACUUCCCACUUCCUCUCGCCAGCUGUUCCUCUCUGCCGGGCCAGGCCGGAGUCCCAGUGGUUAGCGACAGCAGAUUACCUCCAGUUGGGCAAACUUGGCCUCAUGGGCUUCAGGUAAAACCGAAGUUUGUAUCGAAGAUGCCUUGUUAGGCGAACAAACUGGCUGCAUUGUAUAUUAGUUGUAUGCUAAUAUUUGUGUGUGCACGCGUGCACACACAAGUGCACUUUUCACAGUUGAUUUCUCAGGGAAGUGCACUUUCCAUACUUGGAUUUUUUUUUUUUUUCUGCUGUUGCCUUUAACAGUGUACAUACUGAAAUAUGUAACGACUGGGGCAGGGGUGGUCUUUCAGUAAAAAUACAGCAAUUUCCUCCAAGCAAUCGCUAAAAGGUCCUGAACAGGAAACUGACUACGGAAUUAUUG